rnacentral:misc_RNA from 1 species
GAUGAAGAACGUAGCGAAAUGCGAUAAGUAAUGUGAAUUGCAGAAUUCAGUGAAUCAUCGAAUCUUUGAACGCACAUUGCGCCCGCCAGUAUUCUGGCGGGCAUGCCUGUUCGAGCGUCAUUUCAACCCUCAAGACCCCUUCGGGGGACUUGGUGUUGGGGACCGGCACAGGGGCCUGCCUGCUUGUCUUGCAGCGCCCUCGCCGCCCCCGAAAUGAAUUGGCGGCCUCGUCGCGGCCUCCCCUGCGUAGUAGCACAACCUCGCAACGGGAACGUGACGGCGGCAACUGCCGUAAAACAACCCCAAUUUUAUUAGAGUUGACCACGAAUCAGGUAGGAAUACCCGCUGAACUUAAGCAUAUCAAUAAGCGGAGGA